rnacentral:rRNA from 1 species
UACAGAGGGGGCAAGCGUUAUUCGGAAUUAUUGGGCGUAAAGGGCGCGUAGGCGGCCGAGCAAGUCUUGGGUGAAAUCCCUCGGCUCAACCGAGGAACUGCCUUGGAAACUGCUUGGCUUGAGGCCGGGAGAGGGUGGUGGAAUUCCCAGUGUAGCGGUGAAAUGCGUAGAUAUUGGGAGGAACACCAGUGGCGAAGGCGGCCACCUGGACCGGUCCUGACGCUGAGGCGCGAAAGCGUGGGGAGCAAAC